GGCGAACGCUGGCGGCGUGCUUAACACAUGCAAGUCGAACGGAAAGGCCCUGCUUUUGUGGGGUGCUCGAGUGGCGAACGGGUGAGUAACACGUGAGUAACCUGCCCUUGACUUUGGGAUAACUUCAGGAAACUGGGGCUAAUACCGGAUAGGAGCUCCUGCUGCAUGGUGGGGGUUGGAAAGUUUCGGCGGUUGGGGAUGGACUCGCGGCUUAUCAGCUUGUUGGUGGGGUAGUGGCUUACCAAGGCUUUGACGGGUAGCCGGCCUGAGAGGGUGACCGGCCACAUUGGGACUGAGAUACGGCCCAGCCUCCUCCGGGAGGCAGCAGUGGGGAAUAUUGCACAAUGGGCGGAAGCCUGAUGCAGCAACGCCGCGUGCGGGAUGACGGCCUUCGGGUUGUAAACCGCUUUCGCCUGUGACGAAGCGUGAGUGACGGUAAUGGGUAAAGAAGCACCGGCUAACUACG
rnacentral:rRNA from 1 species